rnacentral:rRNA from 1 species
UACGUAGGGUGCGAGCGUUGUCCGGAUUUAUUGGGCGUAAAGAGCUCGUAGGCGGUUUGUCGCGUCUGCUGUGAAAACUGGGGGCUCAACCCCCAGCCUGCAGUGGGUACGGGCAGACUAGAGUGCGGUAGGGGAGAUUGGAAUUCCUGGUGUAGCGGUGGAAUGCGCAGAUAUCAGGAGGAACACCGAUGGCGAAGGCAGAUCUCUGGGCCGUAACUGACGCUGAGGAGCGAAAGCAUGGGGAGCGAACAGG